GUGUUCGUAGAAAGGAGGGACUGAUGGCAUCGCCCCCCACAGGGACGGGAACAGCCUUCGGGCCUUCCUAAACCACGCAACGUGGUAAAAGGCUACCUGUUUUGACGGAUCUUAUCCAAUUUUUUUU